rnacentral:rRNA from 1 species
GAUGAACGCUGGCGGCGUGCCUAAUACAUGCAAGUCGAGCGAACAGAUCAGGCGCUUGCUCCUUUGACGUUAGCGGCGGACGGGUGAGUAACACGUGGGUAACCUACCUAUAAGACUGGGAUAACUUCGGGAAACCGGAGCUAAUACCGGAUAAUAUUUCGAACCGCAUGGUUCGAUAGUGAAAGAUGGUUUUGCUAUCACUUAUAGAUGGACCCGCGCCGUAUUAGCUAGUUGGUAAGGUAACGGCUUACCAAGGCGACGAUACGUAGCCGACCUGAGAGAGGGAUCGCCCACAUGGGAACGGGGACGCGGACAAGACGCCUACGAGAGGCAGCAGUAGGGAAUCGGCCGCAAUGGGCGAAAACCUGACGGAGCAACGCCGCGUGAGUGAUGAAGAUCUUCGGAUCGUAAAACUCUGUUAUUAGGGAAGAACAUACGUGUAAGGAACUGUGCACGGCUUGACGGUACCUAAUCAGAAAGCCACGGCUAACUACGUG